rnacentral:rRNA from 1 species
AGUGGACGCUGGCGGUAGGCCUAACACAUGCAAGUCGAACGGCAGCACAGUAAGAGCUUGCUCUUACGGGUGGCGAGUGGCGGACGGGUGAGGAAUACAUCGGAAUCUACUUUUUCGUGGGGGAUAACGUAGGGAAACUUACGCUAAUACCGCAUACGACCUACGGGUGAAAGCAGGGGAUCUUCGGACCUUGCGCGAUUGAAUGAGCCGAUGUCGGAGUAGCUAGUUGGCGGGGUAAAGGCCCACCAAGGCGACGAUCCGUAGCUGGUCUGAGAGGAUGAUCAGCCCCACUGGAACUGAGACACGGUCCAGACUCCUACGGGAGGCAGCAGUGGGGAAUAUUGGACAAUGGGCGCAAGCCUGAUCCAGCCAUACCGCGUGGGUGAAGAAGGCCUUCGGGUUGUAAAGCCCUUUUGUUGGGAAAGAAAAGCAGCAGGUUAAUACCCCGCUGUUCUGACGGUACCCAAAGAAUAAGCACCGGCUAACUUCGUG